UUAUUUGGUUUAGUUUUUAAAUUACAUUCAUCAACUUGCGUUAAAAAAGGUUUUCGCCGGCUCGGCUUCCAAAGGAAACUGAGCCCGACUGACAAGCGCACUAGACUAGCGCCAAGUGCACAGGGUUAAAUGUGGAAGACGGGCUCUCUGUGGAAGAGACGCCCAAAUUUCACUAAUGAUCCUUCCGCAGGUUCACCUACGGAAA
rnacentral:misc_RNA from 1 species